CUCUCCCUAGCCCCCAUAACACUGUUUCCACCUCGAAUCUGGUGUCCCCACACCGGAUUGGUUGUUCCUGAGCCCUUAUCCCUGAGCCCCCUUCAAUUCCCCAGCACUGCCGGCAGUCUCUCAAAGCCAACAUCCGACCACCUUGGCCUCCCCCUUCUUCCCGACCUCCCUUGUUCUUUCUCUGUCACCAUGCCUUGUCAGAUUGACCUUUCCCUCGCUGGAUCGGUCAUGCCCUGAAGGAAAUAUAGGCAGUUUCAUGCA
rnacentral:lncRNA from 1 species